rnacentral:lncRNA from 1 species
UCAGUGAGUAGCACCAGCAGCCCCGGCAACAGUACCAUGGGAGGCAGCUCCAACAGCACGAUCUCAUGCCGUACCUUCACUUGUGACGGUUCUAACUGUUACUGGAUGUUUAUGAAUAUGAGCUCCAGCACCUGCCCUUCCAGUUCCAACUACUGUGAGUUUCGGAGAUGUAAUGAUUCGAUGUACUCAGUGGGAUGUGUAGACUCAUGUGACCUUGGCUCCACUCGCUGCGUAAACGACUCCCAGAUCGACUGCGUGAAAGACUGUUGCAACAUGACGGACUGCCUCAACACCACACUGCAGAAUAUGGGAAACACCCAAGAAACCACAGGUACCUACAUACAUUUGUCAAAGAGGGCAAGGCUUAAAGGUGCAGUUCACGAUUCCUAUCCAAUGCACUUUCUGCCAAAUUCAGCCAAUUGCUCCAAUGGUCUUCAAACUGUCCAUUCUGUGUGUGUGCCUAAACCCACAGUCCUGACUCUGUAAAUAGGAAAUAAACAAAGUGGCCCGGACUGAGCCA